GACGAACGCUGGCGGCGUGCCUAAUACAUGCAAGUUGAGCGCUGAAGGUUGGUACUUGUACCAACUGGAUGAGCAGCGAACGGGUGAGUAACGCGUGGGGAAUCUGCCUUUGAGCGGGGGACAACAUUUGGAAACGAAUGCUAAUACCGCAUAAAAACUUUAAAGACAAGUUUUAAGUUUGAAAGAUGCAAUUGCAUCACUCAAAGAUGAUCCCGCGUUGUAUUAGCUAGUUGGUGAGGUAAAGGCUCACCAAGGCGAUGAUACAUAGCCGACCUGAGAGGGUGAUCGGCCACAUUGGGACUGAGACACGGCCCAAACUCCUACGGGAGGCAGCAGUAGGGAAUCUUCGGCAAUGGACGAAAGUCUGACCGAGCAACGCCGCGUGAGUGAAGAAGGUUUUCGGAUCGUAAAACUCUGUUGGUAGAUAAGAACGUUGGUGAGAGUGGAAAGCUCAUCAAGUGACGGUAACUACCCAGAAAGGGACGGCUAACUACGUG
rnacentral:rRNA from 1 species